GAUGUUUAGUUAUUAUUGAGAGUAAUUUGCAGUAUUAAAAAGUAAAUUUAAAUAUUUUGUAUUUUCUUUAGUGUAGAAGGUUAAAGUAUAAAAUUACAUUUCAAGAGUUACAAACUUCUUGGUCGAGCGGCUGGCGCCUGCUCGAUUGAGCGUGAAGACCGCCAGACUGCCCAGGACGGUGUUGCCCACGAAGGAGGAAAGGCAAGAUUUAUAAGCUCUGUUUAGGUUUAAUGGACCCUUAGAUAUCCAGUCAAGAUAAACAUUAAACAAUGAAGUAAUCAACUCGCCAGAAGCAGAAAUAUCUUAAGUGAACCCACCUUAUUCCAAGUUUAACAUAGGAACUAUAACUUAUCAUGGUGUUAUAACAAAACAUCUCUUAAUUUAUGCAUCUCAAGAACUCACUUGAGUUAUUCAUAUUACAGAAGAUUGUAAGAGAAAGUGAAGUAUAAGUAUAACAUCAAUAGUUAAUCUCAAAACCCCUAUUCUCAGGGCACGGAUCUCAAAACAACAUCCACUACUAGACAAACAAAAGUUGAAAAUGGCAUCUACAUCACAGAUUACGCAACAAACUUACAGUAUCUUGCAUACCAAUUGAAACAUCAUUGAUUUAUGUAUACACCCCGUAAGUCACGUAACAGGCCUCGCUGAGGUUUCAUGACAACUUCAAGUCUACAGCUUAUUUCAUCAGACUAGUAUUAAUUACUAAGGCACAUGUUAAAGUGGCAUACGGUUAUGCUCAGUUUGUUUACAAAUUGAUUUAAUCUCCCAAUCUAUCUUUGGAUAUCUUGGGGUUACCCACAAGACCAAUUUACAAACUUUCGCUAGCGCUCAGUCAAUUCCCAUGGAGUGAGACGCACUAUUAUCGAACUUCAUGUUAUUUAUAUAGAAAUAAAGCUUCAUGGGAAAAUUUAAAUUCUAUAGGUCAGUUUGUUAUCGAGAUAGUAGACUGAUAGAAAUGCAAUUUUCCAGCCAUACGAGGAAUAGACUUCGCUAGCGCUUAGCCAGACACGGGUCAUAUAAUAAUGAAACUCAUGUAGUACGCCUCAUUAUUCCAUAACAUUAGCAAUGGAAUGUAGGCUCGAGUGGUGAUGUGUUUUCAUAACAUUUAAAUAUGCAAUAUGAAGCUGAAUGAACUUCAGUAGACAUUUAAUAAGUUCGCCGACUUGAUAACACUGUGAUUUCGAUCAUCCUUGGUACAGUUAUUAAUUUUGAAAUCAAUCUAUGAGGUCCAAAUCUUGAAAGUUCAGAGUCAGCCAAAGUCUACAGCUCCAACGUCUAAUAGAGUAUACAAUUUUCAUUUUUAAAUAUCAAUUAUUUUAUCUUAAUAAAAAAUUUCUAAAAAGAUAUAAA